CUCCUUGUAGAGGUGCCAUAUAUCUGCCGAUUACAUGAGUGUCAUUUCCCCAGAGAAGAGAAUCUAAAGCACUGGUGUAGGAAUGGAAAGAGGAAAAAACAAAAACAAAACCACCCGACCAUACCCCAUGUGAGGAAGCCCACCCGGCCAACUAGCCAUUGACAUGGGUAGAGGAAGAGAACUUGAUUGAGCUGAGGAUGAGGCAGAAAAAGAAACACUAGAUCAGCAAUCCAGUUUGAGAAAAUUUCAUGAGAACAGAAUUUUCUCUACAAGUUAAAAA
rnacentral:misc_RNA from 1 species